AAGGGAAGAACUACCAAACAGUAUGACGUUCCCCUCUGAUGUUAUCUGGAGCGGUGAUCUGCUAGGUCACUCCAGUCCUUGACUCUGGGAGCCAACCUUACCCUGCUCUGCUGUGAGAACCCCCACUCCUGAGCUGUUCACACAUAGCCUCUGGUAUGUAAGCUUCUCCUUGGAUUGUGCAACCAGAUGACACUACCCAAUAUCUCCA